GAUCACAGAAACAUAGACUCACUGAGGCUGUAAGGGACCCCAGAAAAUGGCUCACACAGCUCCAAGUUGUACAGCCUUGUAUGGACAGUGAAAGAACCGCUGUGUUACUCAAAAUACUGGCUUUUACCCACAGUAAUCUUCAGAAGGUGCUGACAUUCACUAAUUCAGGAGAUGAGGCAGAAAUGGUUCAUCGGCUUUAACAGAUGAAUGCAUGCAGUCUUUGGAAGCUACAGAUGCCACUUGUGUGACACAUUUCAGUUUUCC